AAACUUACCUGGCACAGGGGACAUCGAGAAGGCGGUUCCCCCAGGGCGAGGCUUUUCCAUUGCACUGCGGUUGAGCUGACCUCUGCGUUUACCACUAGUGUGGGUAAAUCGGGUGCAUAAUUUUUGGUAGUGGGGACAGCGCAGCGGCGCGCUGUCCCCU